GACGAACGCUGGCGGCGUGCUUAACACAUGCAAGUCGAGCGGAAAGGCCCUGCUUUUGUGGGGUGCUCGAGUGGCGAACGGGUGAGUAACACGUGAGUAUCCUGCCCUUGACUUUGGGAUAACUUCAGGCAACUGGGGCUAAUACCGGAUAGGAGCUCCUGCUGCAUGGUGGGGGUUGGAAGGUUUCGGCGGUUGGGGAUGGACUCGCGGCUUAUCAGCUUGUUGGUGGGGUAGUGGCUUACCAAGGCUUUGGCGGGUAGCCGGCCUGAGAGGGGGACCGGCACCCUGGCGAGAGAGAUACGGGCCAGAGCCGUAAGGGAUGCAGGAGAGGGGACGUAUGCCUGAUGGAGGCAAGUCGGGUGCAGCAAGGCCGCGCUCGGGAUUGUGGCCUGCUGGUAUGAGACCGCUUUGUGGUGUGACGGUGCGUUAGUGAAGGUACCGGGUAAAUAAGCACCGGCUAAUUACGUG
rnacentral:rRNA from 1 species